rnacentral:rRNA from 1 species
UACGGAGGGUGCAAGCGUUAUCCGGAUUCACUGGGUUUAAAGGGAGCGUAGGUGGGCUGGUAAGUCAGUGGUGAAAUCUCCGGGCUUAACCCGGAACUGCCGUUGAUACUAUCAGUCUUGAAUAUUGUGGAGGUGAGCGGAAUAUGUCAUGUAGCGGUGAAAUGCUUAGAUAUGACAUAGAACACCAAUUGCGAAGGCAGCUCACUACACAAUUAUUGACGCUGAGGCACGAAAGCGUGGGGAUCAAACAGG